rnacentral:rRNA from 1 species
GCGAUUCGCCCUUCGGGGUGCAGCAGGCGCGAAAACUUUACAAUGCGGGAAACCGUGAUAAGGGGACACCGAGUGCCAGCAUCAUAUGCUGGCUGUCCAGGUGUGUAAAAUACACCUGUUAGCAAGGGCCGGGCAAGACCGGUGCCAGCCGCCGCGGUAACACCGGCGGCCCGAGUGGUGAUCGUGAUUAUUGGGUCUAAAGGGUCCGUAGCCGGUUUGGUCAGUCCUCCGGGAAAUCUGACGGCUCAACCGUUAGGCCUUCGGGGGAUACUGCCAGGCUUGGAACCGGGAGAGGUAAGAGGUACUACAGGGGUAGGAGUGAAAUCUUGUAAUCCCUGUGAGACCACCUGUGGCGAAGGCGUCUUACCAGAACGGGUUCGACGGUGAGGGACGAAAGCUGGGGGCACGAACCGGAUUAGAUACCCGGGUAGUCCCAGCCGUAAACGAUGCUCGCUAGGUGUCAGGCAUGGCGCGACCGUGUCUGGUGCCGCAGGGAAGCCGUGAAGCGAGCCACCUGGGAAGUACGGCCGCAAGGCUGAAACUUAAAGGAAUUGGCGGGGGAGCAC